AACAGGAUUAGAUACCCUGGUAGUCCACGCCCUAAACGAUGUCUACUAGUUGUUGGGUCUUAAUUGACUUAGUAACGCAGCUAACGCGUGAAGUCGACCGCCUGGGGAGUACGGUCGCAAGAUUAAAACUCAAAGGAAUUGACGGGGACCCGCACAAGCGGUGGAUGAUGUGGAUUAAUUCGAUGCAACGCGAAAAACCUUACCUACCCUUGACAUGUCAGGAACCCUGAAGAGAUUCGGGGGUGCUCGAAAGAGAACCUGAACACAGGUGCUGCAUGGCUGUCGUCAGCUCGUGUCGUGAGAUGUUGGGUUAAGUCCCGCAACGAGCGCAACCCUUGUCAUUAGUUGCUACGAAAGGGCACUCUAAUGAAACUGCCGGUGACAAACCGGAGGAAGGUGGGGAUGACGUCAAGUCCUCAUGGCCCUUAUGGGUAGGGCUUCACACGUCAUACAAUGGUGCAUACAGAGGGUUGCCAACCCGCGAGGGGGAGCUAAUCCCAGAAAGUGCAUCGUAGUCCGGAUUGGAGUCUGCAACUCGACUCCAUGAAGUUGGAAUCGCUAGUAAUCGCGGAUCAGCAUGUCGCGGUGAAUACGUUCCCGGGUCUUGUACACACCGCCCGUCACACCAUGGGAGCGGGUUUUACCAGAAGUAGGUAGCUUAACCGCAAGGAGGGCGCUUACCACGGUAGGAUUCGUGACUGGGGUGAAGUCGUAACAAGGUAGCCGUAUCGGAAGGUGCGGCUG
rnacentral:rRNA from 1 species